rnacentral:lncRNA from 1 species
UAGGCAAAAGAUGCAGUAUAUUCCAAAAACAUUUACAAAUUUAGCAACAUGUUGAUUGGUGAAUGAACUCGAAAAACUGUCACAUUAGAAAUAGCUAAAGUAACUAGGAAAGUGUCUUGUUGCUGAGACAAUAUACCUGACACCCAAAGUUAAUGGAGGAAAGGUUUAUUUCAGCUCAUAGUUUAUAGAGGUUUCAGUUCAUAAUCAGCUGGCUCCAUGGCAGAAGGGCAUCACAGAGGAGAAACAAUUCAUGGCAGGGAAAAAGAGCACCAAGUAGCAAAAUAGCAGCCUUUCUUCUGUGCCUUAUAUUUUAUCCUGGCUACCCACAGAACUCACACCCUUAAUCUCAGCAUCAGACUGUGAAUCAAUCCCAACAUCACAUCCUUAAUCGCAAUAUCACAAACUCUAGAUCACAGUCAUCUCCAAAAACCCCCACCUAUGACCAUAUGAGGCUUUGCGGGGACAUCUAGACAGAAGCCACAAUAGGAAGUUUAACGUGAAUUUUUUAAAAAUGUGUUGGUGGGAACAACUGUCUAAGGAUACACAAGGUGGCAUACUAAAAAUAGGUCAAAAAGUGUCCAAUUAAUAUUGUUGGCAAACCUAAGUCCAUUUGGUUCCCAUUGGAGGGGCCUAAUGAAUCAAGAAUAAAUUAUUGGGGCAAAGAAAAAGCUUAUUCCUGAAGGUUUUUUCUCUUUGACCCGAUGCUGGGCAUCAAAACUAGUGUCAGGUAAGCUUCCUCUACAAACAAGUUACAUCUCCAACAUCAAGAUUUACUUGUACUAUUACAGGCCACUUGGGUUCAUAUGCUCAUUUCGUCUGCUGGCAAGUGAAUAAGUCAAAGGAGGCCACAUAUUUGCUUAAAAAGGAAAAAUAGCUCCUGGAAGAUGGACGGGCUCAUUUGCCUCAAAUCACCAUCUCCCAGUUUACAGGUGAGGAAGCUGAGUCACAGAAAGUUUAAGGAGCUUGUCUCACAGAAGGGAAAAGGAAAGAACCACAACUGGCUAUUUCGAGGUUUCAAGGAUAAAAGACAUUUUUAUUAUUUUAUACUUACUUUUUACCAUUACAUAGGUCAGGGCCAGGACCAAUAUGUAUAAACAAUUUAAAGCAGGUUUCAAUCUAGCAGAAGGACAAAUGCAUUAAUUAAUGAAACAAGGAGUGAUACAACAUGCUUGUAGUCCCAGUGCUCUGGGAGGUUAAGGCAGGGGAUCACAAAUUCAAACCCAACCUGGGAAAUUUAGCAAUUUAGCAAGAUCGAAUAUCAAAAUAAAAGCUAAAAAGAGGUCUGAGGAUGUUAAAGGCCCUGAAUUUAAUCCCCCAUACAGCCAAAAGCAAAAGCAAAAGCAAAAACAAAAUAAUUAAACAUAUGUAGUCUUAACAAUUUAACGUUAAAGGUCAGACUCACAUCAUACCUUGUUUUUAGAUGUAUACAUACAAAUUUGCCCAAAUAUAUGUUCUGUCAUAAACUAAAAUAGUAGUUGGUUAUUUAACCAAUCACGAAUUCAUUAUUGAAAACAUUUUGUAAGUUACCACUCAAAUUGUAAGCACAAGGUCCCAAGUGGAAUCCUCAUACCAAAAAC